rnacentral:rRNA from 1 species
GACGAACGCUGGCGGCGUGCUUAACACAUGCAAGUCGAACGGAAAGGCCCUGCUUUUGUGGGGUGCUCGAGUGGCGAACGGGUGAGUAACACGUGAGUAACCUGCCCUUGACUUUGGGAUAACUUCAGGAAACUGGGGCUAAUACCGGAUAGGAGCUCCUGCUGCAUGGUGGGGGUUGGAAAGUUUCGGCGGUUGGGGAUGGACUCGCGGCUUAUCAGCUUGUUGGUGGGGUAGUGGCUUACCAAGGCUUUGACGGGUAGCCGGCCUGAGAGGGUGACCGGCCACAUUGGGACUGAGAGACGGCCCAGACUCCUACGGGAGGCAGCAGGGGGGAAUAUGGCACAAUGGGCGGGAGCCUGAUGCAGCAACGCCGCGUGCGGGAUGACGGCCUUCGGGUUGUAAACCGCUUUCGCCUGUGACGAAGCGUGAGUGACGGUAAUGGGUAAAGAAGCACCGGCUAACUACGUG